rnacentral:rRNA from 1 species
GGGAAACUGCCUGAUGGAGGGGGAUAACUACUGGAAACGGUAGCUAAUACCGCAUAACGUCGCAAGACCAAAGAGGGGGACCUUCGGGCCUCUUGCCAUCAGAUGUGCCCAGAUGGGAUUAGCUAGUAGGUGGGGUAAUGGCUCACCUAGGCGACGAUCCCUAGCUGGUCUGAGAGGAUGACCAGCCACACUGGAACUGAGACACGGUCCAGACUCCUACGGGAGGCAGCAGUGGGGAAUAUUGCACAAUGGGCGCAAGCCUGAUGCAGCCAUGCCGCGUGUAUGAAGAAGGCCUUCGGGUUGUAAAGUACUUUCAGCGGGGAGGAAGGUGCUGAGGUUAAUAACCUCAGCAAUUGACGUUACCCGCAGAAGAAGCACCGGCUAACUCCGUGCCAGCAGCCGCGGUAAUACGGAGGGUGCAAGCGUUAAUCGGAAUUACUGGGCGUAAAGCGCACGCAGGCGGUCUGUCAAGUCGGAUGUGAAAUCCCCGGGCUCAACCUGGGAACUGCAUUCGAAACUGGCAGGCUAGAGUCUUGUAGAGGGGGGUAGAAUUCCAGGU